GCUGAGGUAGCCAAGCGGCCCACGGCGCCGGUCUUGAAAACCGGUGGCGCUCACGCGCCUCGUGAGUUCAAAUCUCACCCUCAGCGCCA
rnacentral:tRNA from 2 species